rnacentral:lncRNA from 1 species
AUAGACAUAACAGAAUUUUUUGUGCACGCAUUCAAAUACAUAAUGACAACAGAAAACAUCCAGGCAGACAGCAUAAGAGGACUUUUUUUUCUUUUUUCUUUUUCUGAGGAUAUGGUUCACCUAACCCCACCCAAUGUUGUGACUUGAUAGUAUUGAUGUUGACACAAUAAGGUCUUCCCACGUAUUGGCAGAGGCAUGGUCUUUCAUUCCUUCCCCUUCAUAUGUACUCUCUACCAUUUUUCAAAAAAGAAGCAGGAGCUCUCGGUCUCUUUUUUCUCCCAGCAGAAGUGAGCUCUUGAUUUUAGCUUAAGGUGGUGGUUCUUUGCCGGAUUUUUACCCUCUCUCUUGGAAGGUGAUUUGCAAGUCAUGGAGGCUGUUCCUGAGCCUGAAAAACACCCAUAAAUCGAAGAAGAAUCUGCUGAAACGAAGAAGAAGAAGCUGGACAGAUUUCGGCCAAAAAAGGAGUUGUAUUCUUCCGGUUUUAUUUUCUUGUUUUUGCCUUGAAUCUUGUUUGUUGAUUGUUUGUUUUGGUUGAUUGAACUCCUAGGAUCCCCAACAAACUGGUAUCAGAGCUAGGAGGAGUGAUAUUAGUCCAAAAUCGAUCAAAAACCAGCAAGAAAUCGCCAUUACCACAUUCUAACCGAAUCUGAAAAACUUGAUUUCCGGCCAACCUAUUGACUUUCCGGCGAAAUGGACCAUGGAACCAUGACCAGCAGGAGGAGGCGCACCCUGUGGUGGGGCACGUGACCGGCGACGGCGCGUGGCCGAACCUCCGGCGAGCUUUUUUCGGGCAGUUUACUUAUUUUGACGUCCUAAACGCACUGAUGUCGUUUGUUUUCUGUUUCAGAUUUUACAGAAAAUGUUGGAUGAUUUUGCCCCUAGCUUGACGUCUACGGCAAUUUGGUUCAGAAAUUUGGUGGUAUAUUUACUGUUUGUCAACAGUAGUUUGGUAAGAUUAUUCCAAACUCUCCGUUAGGUUAGGUUUGGUAUCCUUACCGGUUUAUGCAUGGUUAUUGCUUGGUUGCUUAUUUGUGAAUUCUGUUGAUUGAAUUCUUGUGAUUAAUUUGUAACCUGGAAGCAUAUUUACCUGCUUUAUAUACCUGUGUUUCGUGAACGGAUUAUUUCACUGUUGUGCUUCAUUUCUAAAAAUUGUUUUUUAAAACUCGGCACUCAGUUUUAUAUUGAUCAUCUGGAAAAGAAUUUUUCAAAACCUUUUUUGUUGUGUCCACGAGUACAGGCCACUCUUUUAUAGAAUCUAUAAUGGGUUCGAGGGUCGAAUUAUCGCAAUUCGAUGGAAAGGGGGAUUACUCGAUAUGGAAACAGAAAAUGAGGGCCAUUUUGGUCCAACAGAGAGUUGCUAAAGCUCUUGAUGAUCCCGCUACUUUUUCUGAUGAGUUAAAAGCUAAAACAACUGAAAUUGAAGACAUGAAUGAAAUUGCUUACAGUUAUAUAAUUUUGCAUCUCUCUGACAAUAUUGUGAGACAAGUUGAUAAUGCUAAAACUGCUAGAGCUUUGUGGAUUGCUUUAGAUGCCCUGUUCUUAACUAAAACUUUACCUAACAAAAUAUACCUGUUGGAGAAGUUGUUUAGUUUUAAGAUGGACCCGGGGAAGGAUGUCGAGGGGAAUUUGAGUGACUUUAGCAUAAUUGUUAAGAGUCUAGCUCAUAAUGAUAAAACAUUUGAUGAUGAGGAUUUAGCUGUCAUAUUGCUAAACUCUUUGCCCGAAUCUUACAGAGAAAUGAAAAAUGCCAUAAAGUAUGGUAGGGACACUCUCACUCAAGCUAUUGUUUCUGAUGCUUUAAAAUCAAGAGAACUUGAAUUAAAAAGAGAGAACAGAAUUCAUUCUCGUGAAGAGAGUCUAUUUGUUAGGGGAAGAUCUGAAAAAAAAGAAUUCAACUUCCAUAACAAGAAGGGGAGAGGAACAUCUAAAAUGAGAUCCAAAUCUAAAGAUAAAAAUGGUAAGAAAUGUUAUCACUGUGGAAAGUUAGGACAUUUCAAGAAAGACUGCUUUGAUUGGAAAAUGAAACAAAAAGACCCGAACAAUUCUGAUGUUGAUAAUGCUGCUAUUGCUACUGAAUUUAAUAGUUUGCAUGUCAUGAAUGUGUCUGAAGAAGAAUUUGACAAAAAUUGGAUUCUUGACACAGGGUGCACUUUCCAUAUGUGCCCUGAUAGGUCUUGGUUUUAUAACUAUAGGGAGACUGAACCUAGGAAGGUCUACAUGGGAGAUAAUAAUUUCCAAAAUGUGAUUGAAAUUGGUGACAUAGCCAUCAGGAUGUACGAUGGGGCCGUCACGCAGCUUAGAAAUGUUAGAUAUAUCCCAAAUUUAAAGAGGAACCUCGUUUCCUUAGGUUCUCUGGAAGAUGAGGGAUAUACCUUCAAGUCUGGUGACAAGAUUUUGAAAAUUAUGAAGGGUUCUCUUAUAGUUAUGAAGGGGCCCAAGAGGAAUGGGCUGUACUAUCUUGAGGGUAGAACUGAAAUACCAUUUGAUUCUAGCCUUCUUGCUAUGAGUAAAGACAAAACUGAACUUUAGCAUAACAGAAUGGGUCACAUUGGGUUUAAAGGUCUAAAAUCUUUAAGUAAUCAGAAAUUACUUGGAAAAGAUGACAUUGAAACUAUGGAAUUCUGUGAAACUUGUCUUUUGGGUAAGUCUCAUAAGGUGAGCUUUGAAGCUAGCUCUCAUAGGACCAGCAGACCAUUGGACUAUGUCCAUGCUGAUCUAUGGGGCCCGGAGAAGCACUCCACAUUUGGUGGGAGCAAGUACUUCUUGUCUUUAGUGGAUGAUUACUCAAGAAAGGUUUGGAUUUAUCCUUUGAAGGCUAAGUCGGAAACUUUUGGAAAAUUCAGGAUUUGGUUAAAGUCUGUUGAGAAUCAGUUAGACAAGAAACUUAAAACGUUAAGAACUGAUAAUGGGCUUGAAUUCUGUAAUAGCGAAUUUGACAACUUCUGUAAGCAGAAAGGUAUAACAAGAUAAAGAACUGUUAAAUACACACCUGAACAAAAUGGGGUCGCUGAAAGAAUGAACAGGACCAUAAUGAACAAAGUUAGGUGUAUGUUGAUUAGCUCUGGCCUUGCGAAAGGUUUUUGGGCAGAAGCUGCAAGUACUGUAGCUUAUCUGAUUAAUAGGUCUCCGUCCAGCAGUAUAGGGUUUAAGACCCCACAGGAGUUGUGGACGGGAGAGCCUCCAAAUAUGGAACACUUGAGGGUGUUUGGAUGUGCUGCAUAUGCACAUCAAUCUGAAGGGAAACUUGAGCCCAGGGCUGUCAAGUGUGUGAUGUUAGGGUAUCCCGAGGGUGUGAAGGGCUAUAGGUUAUGGGUUUUAGGGGUCCAAGGCAUUAAGAUUAUUAACAGCAGGAAUGUAGUCUUUAAUGAAUCUGAGAUGCCAUGUCUAAAAC